AUACGUAGGGUCCAAGCGUUAUUCGGAUUUACUGGGCGUAAAGCGUGCGUAGGCGGCUAUAUAAGUUAGAUGUUAAAUCUGCGGGCUCAACUCGUAGGCCGCAUCUAAUACUGUAUAGCUCGAGAAUGGAAGAGGCAGAUGGAAUUUCUGGUGGAGCGGUUAUAUGCGUAGAUAUCAGAAGGAACACCAAUGGCGAAGGCAGUCUGCUGGGCCAUUUCUGACGCUAAGGCACGAAAGCGUGGGGAGCGAUCGGGAUUAGAAACCCGAGUAGUCC
rnacentral:rRNA from 1 species